rnacentral:tRNA from 1 species
GGCCUUGUAGUCCAAUGGUUAAGACGCUUCCUUGACGUGGAAGUAAUCGCAGUUCGAUUCUGCGCAGGGCCA